GGGCGGGGGGGCAGGGGGGACUUCAGCAGUGGCCGUCCACUCCCGACAGAGAGGUUUGAGCCAGAACCGGUCCAAACAGAGCCAGCUCUUCUCCCAGUGACACCGUGUUCAGCCACACUGCGGAGCUAGCUCAGCAUGCCACAGUGCACUUGAAGAAGGAGAAGAUCCCGCUUCUGUUCCACGUGCUCCGGAGCGCUCUACAGCCAGCAGAGUUUCUGCCUCCGCUCCAGUUCCACAGCAGUAGCCAGCCAUAGUGUAGACCAUCCAGACGCGCAGUGACAUUCAUUCAACGUGAAAUAAAUAGGCUCACAAUUUCACGACUACAGUUGUCGGCACUCCUUCUGCCGUCCUCCAGACGGGGCUCGUGGCAGUGACACAUGCAGAAAUCACCGUUCCAUUCCAUCGCGUUCGGCGACGUCGUGGUCGUCAUCCAGACUUCCUGUGUGUCUGUGCCCGGUCGGAGCAGAAUGAAGCCGACGCAGCGAUUGAGAUCACCCGACGGGCAUGUCUGAGCUGUACCAUUUCACCUGUCAUUUGCAUUGCUCAUUUUUAGAAGUCAAACGCCGUUAAUACGACAACAUGUCUCAACAAAGAAGGACACGAAUAAAAUGUUUUUCAUUGUUUAGCUA